GACAGAGGCCUCAAGCGUUAGGCGGAAUCACUGGGCUUAAAGCGUGUGUAGGCGGAUCGUUAAGUGUCUUGUGGAAUCCCACGGCUCACCCGUGGAACGGCUGGGCAUACUGGCGAUCUUGGGCCAACUAGGGGCAACUGGAACAAGCGGUGGAGCGGUGAAAUGCGUAGAUAUCGCUUGGAACGCCGAAGGUGAAAACAGGUUGCUGGGGUUGUGCCGACGCUGAGACACGAAAGCCAGGGGAGCAAACGGG
rnacentral:rRNA from 1 species